AAGUCGUAACAAGGUUUCCGUAGGUGAACCUGCGGAAGGAUCAUCACUGAAUUUUGAUGGCGCCCAUCCCUGUGCACCGUUGGCGCGCUCUGCAGCGCGCAUUUUCUAUCUCCACUCGCCUGGCUAUGAAUCUGCGAAAAACAAAAAACACACACACAACUUUUAACAACGGAUCUCUUGGUUCUC
rnacentral:misc_RNA from 1 species